CUCUGUACAUGCGACCUGACUUCAUCUCUCUUUUGUUUCUGUUGCAGGUUGCAUAGAGAACCAUUGUUGGUACCAUUGAGCAGAGGAAGAAGAGUAGCAGAAUCAUUGGUACUUAGUGACCAGCUUGUGGUAUUUGAUUGUACCUAGCAUCAUAUUUGCCUGAACCAAACACCACCUUAGUGCACAAGGAGGCUACACCGUGGGAGCUCAUCUUCAAGAGAUCAUCCACCGACGUGCUUACUGCAUCCACUCAAUGUGUAAUCUGGUUGGUUAUUAGGAUUCUUGCUACCAACGACUCAACUUCCAGCAGCGGCGCAGUAAUCCCCUUCCGUGCUUGUCACGACAUCCUCCACUAGUUGGAUUUAGUGUGUAUUUGUAGUGACCAAGUGUGAAGCUAGCUACCAUGGAUAGAAGUUGGAUGGAUGCGCCUAGGCAUACAGAGAAGUACUUACAAGGGCUCGCCAAAUUCCUAGGCUUUGCAUUUAAUAAAUCAUCGGUCGAGAAUAAAAUCUUAUGUCCUUGCAAAAACUGUGUGAACUCAUACUGGAGAGAAGAGUCUGAAGUCCGUGAGCACCUGGUAUGCGAGGGAUUUGUAGAUGGCUACAAACAGUGGAUGUUUCAUGGAGAACGUGUCUCUUCUUCUUCCAUUCCUCCAAAUCUAGAUGAGGGUGACGAUAGGGAUGAGGGCGAUGAUAUAUCUGAUUUGCUACGAGACCUUGCUGCUGGUUUGGAUAAAGGGGGGGAUCUUGAAGAUGAUUG